rnacentral:rRNA from 1 species
GUCCACACUGUAAACGAUGAUUACUCGAUGUGUGCGAUACACAGCACGCGUCUUAGCAAAAGCGAUAAGUAAUCCACCUGGGGAGUACGCCGGCAACGGUGAAACUCAAAGGAAUUGACGGGGUCGCACAAGCGGUGGAGCAUGUGGUUUAAUUCGAUGAUACGCGAGGAACCUUACCUGGGCUAGAAUGCCCUUGACACUUUCAGAGAUGAGAGGUUCCGCAAGGACAAGGAGCAAGGUGCUGCAUGGCUGUCGU